rnacentral:rRNA from 1 species
UGGGGAAUAUUGCACAAUGGGCGCAAGCCUGAUGCAGCCAUGCCGCGUGUGUGAAGAAGGCCUUCGGGUUGUAAAGCACUUUCAGCGAGGAGGAAGGUGGUGAACUUAAUACGUUCAUCAAUUGACGUUACUCGCAGAAGAAGCACCGGCUAACUCCGUGCCAGCAGCCGCGGUAAUACGGAGGGUGCAAGCGUUAAUCGGAAUUACUGGGCGUAAAGCGCACGCAGGCGGUUUGUUAAGUCAGAUGUGAAAUCCCCGGGCUCAACCUGGGAACUGCAUUUGAAACUGGCAAGCUAGAGUCUCGUAGAGGGGGGCUAGAAUUCCAGGUGUAGCGGUGAAAUGCGUAGAGAUCUGGAGGAAUACCGGUGGCGAAGGCGGCCCCCUGGACGAAGACUGACGCUCAGGUGCGAAAAGUGUGGGGAGCAAACAGGAUUAGAUACCCCUGGUAGUCCACGCUGUAAACGAUGUCGAUUUUGGAGGUUGUGCCCUUGAGGCGUGGCUUCCGGAGCUAACGCGUUAAAUCGA